rnacentral:snRNA from 1 species
GUGCUUGUUUUAACAGCACAUAUACUAAAUUAUAGUGAAACAGACCAUAUCAGCAUGGCCUCCCACAAGGUUGACAUGCAAACUUGUGAAGGGUUCCAUUUUCUA